AAAAUACUCACGAAGCCGGGCGUAGUGGCGGUCGCCUGUGGUCCCAGCUACUGGGGAGGCUGAGGUGACUCGAACGGAUUUGACAUAACCCUCACGUGCAUGGAGAAGCUUAGAGCAGUAAUCUGUGGAAGUAAAACAAUGAAACAGCUGGGCAAAGACACACACAGGUGAGAGAGACGAAGAGAAUGGCCUCUGGUUUCUGCUGAGCUUCUACUCCCUGGUUCUGCCCCCUACCCCGUUCACUUUUACCUUUGAGAUACCCCCAUAAUCUUAGAAUAAACGUACAUUUUUUGCUUAAGCUAUUAGCCUCCUGAAACUUGGAAUUGAAAAGACUAUGGCUACAGCCCUAGGAUCUAACAGAUGAAAAAUGUACAAUGUCACCAGUAACGUAGGUGGUAAAACAAACAUUUCUUUGAAUGCAGCAAGUUAGAAAGGGAUGGGACACAUUGCCCAAGGCCACCAAUACUAAGAGCAGCAGAUACACAAAUAGCCCAUAAAAAAGAAAUGUUUCUAUGAAAAGCAGAGCCAAGAACUCCAAAACAACUCAUCAGUCUGGGACCAUUUAGUUUAGAGGCCAGUGGUGACAGCCCUCAGUGUGCCUUUAGGGCGUCAUUUGGUUAUAGUUAUGUAAGACUGACAUUUGUUACCAUGGCCUUGAGUCGCAAAAGGCCAGUCAGAUGAGACAGUGUCAUUUGUUCAGAAGAACCCUUAGUGAAAAAAUGUUUAAAUUACAUGUUCAGGCAUUUAAAGCUGUAAGAUUCACUUAUCUGGCACAUAGACAUUGUGAAAUACGUCAUUGUAUAACAUAAUGACAGAUAUGUGCGGCACACAGUGUAAUUAUAUCUACUUCCAGAAGCAGAACGUCUAAAUAAAGAACAAGUUGAUAGCAAAA